CUGUAGAAACAGGAAAAGAUUGAAGGUUGAGUUAUGAUCGAAUUUUAGCGUUGGUAUCAAAAGGUAAAUAUUAGGAGGUUCCACUGAACAGCGUAAGCCACCGAAUAAAUUAUUAGAGGGAUUCACUUAACAACGUUAACCGCGUAUUAAAGAUUAUUCUGAUUAACCGUCGCGAUCACCAAGGCAAUCUUUGAUGAUUUCAUUCGCAAUUCAAUGAAACAUUUCAAAUAGCAUAAAAUCAUGGCUUACGCAGCUGUUAAGUGAGUCCCCUUAUUAUUUUCGAAGUAGGCGUUGCACCAUAGGAUAUUAGGUGGACAAAAAUCAGAAAAGUGCGUUUUACCAAUGCUUGUUCUGAAAGUUUCUAUUAAUAAUAAACACAUAAACUAAAAGAAAUCCAGAAUUUCAAGUUUUGAGCUGAUGUAGCUACAAAAAUAUUGUGCAUUAAAGUGAUUUUCGCAAAAAACAACACAUAAUUGCAAAUCCAUAUUUUCUAAUUAAUAUCAUAAUUAUUUAUUGGUUUCAAUGCAUCAUUGGUAAGGUAAUGAAGCAAGCGAGGAAGCAAGCUUUCCAACAAGCAGGUGAUUUUGGGAAAUACUUCAACAAUGGAUCAAUGAAGCCAACUUUUCUAGUGUUCACCGCAUAUAAACAGAGGCGCUACCAUCCCGUAUAGAAAUUAACCUUUUUCAGAAUGGUUUGAAAAAUAAGACGGACGUUCACAAAAUGGUUACCAUAUCUGAAUACAGAACUUAAGGACAAAUGUCAUGAAAUCCCACCAAAGGUGCCAAAGUUGGCCAUUGUUGCGGCCAUUUUGGGAUUCUAACAAGUCUGUCCUUAAAUAGUUCACCAAGUACGGUAAAACAAUAUCCCAAUCCAACAUAAUACGGUGACCGUUUUGUUUGAUGUUCAUGUAUUCGUUUAUAGUGUAUGGAUUAGCAAACCAUAUGCCAACAUAAUGGUACCAUAUUGAUUACUGUUACCACGUGAAGCGCACACAGAGCCGAAAGCAAACGUCAAACAGUUUUUUUUUUCUUGUGAGCAGACAGAAUGCCCAUAUAAAUUAACUUUCUAGUUUAUUCGUAAACUCUUGAAACAAUCAUCAAAAAAAAAAGAAAAUCUUCGAUGCCGGUAAGCUGCCGAUUCUAAUCUGGCUGCCACGUUUCGAAAUGAAAACAAAAACUAGGCCACCCGAAUCAACUUGCCACGGAAACAAAUGAAAGAAAGUGCAGAUGCCCAUGUCCUGUGGUAGUUCUUGUGACUUCGACAGUGAAACAGCUGAGAAUAGGAGUCCGCCAAAAAUGCGCAGCAGCAGAGUAACUCAUGUUCCCGAUAGUGCCCACCGUUGCAAAUGUAUCGCAAAAAUCUUCCGAGUCUUGAUACA